rnacentral:lncRNA from 1 species
CAAGUGGGUGCGAUCCACGAUUAAAAUAAUCGUGGACCUCACCUUUGUAACAGGAGUGUGAAAAUUGAUGUGAAAAAAAGAUGUACAAAUAGGAUAAUUGAAUUUUAUUCAGCCCGUUUAAGCAAAAGAUUCAAAACAUUGCACUAUACCCGAAUCCCCUACCCAAACCACCCAAGCCCACAACUCAAAGUCGAUCUUCUCUGGGCUUCAUCUCACCAUUAAGGACUUUGUGUCUACGUUUCCUGGUUUGAUCCACCCGUGCAUCCAAUAGAACAAACUUUAAUACUUGGAUUGCUGCGGAGAAUUGUAGAGAUAAAUUCACCUAAUAGACAAUUGACAAACACAAAUUGAGCAACCUAUCAAGUAAAUAAUGGAAUUAAUCUAAGUAUAACUAUCAAAGCUCCAAGAUUUGGCAUCAAAAUGGAUGGAUCAGGGCUCAUAUCAAGAGCCAAAAACCACGAGGGAACACCACACAAAUUGGACCAAAAUAACCCACUCAAAUAAACCACAAGAAUACUCAAAACUGGCCAAAAAAGCCUUGCACAAAAGGAAGCAGGAAAAGGGACUUAAAUAGGGACUAAAAUCGUACACGGCAAAGGCACAAAAACAAGUUCCAAAUCACUAGAACAGACGGUCAGUGGGAGCAGCAAAAGACGACCCACAAAUGGGCAAGAGACAGAGAUAAAAAGUCACGAAGAGAAGCAG